UGCCCCUUGGCAAAAAUCGUUGUUUACGGCGGGAGCUUGUAAGCAAAAGCCCAACGCUCCCGAAACUAUAAAAAA
rnacentral:sRNA from 1 species